rnacentral:lncRNA from 1 species
UUAGCACUAAUCUUGAUGUGCGUGGUUUCGUUAGCAGCAAGUCCCGCGGCUGCUACGAGCGGGGCGUCCGGUGGAGUUGCCGAGUCCUGGAGUGCAUGGAUAAGGUAGUUAUCUAGUUGCAUGCAUGUAGCUAGUGGGUUAGUCGCCCGGUCAUGUGAUAGUGGCCGGUGUGGUGCAUGCGUGCAUGAGUUAGUUGUGAUUAGUGGCCUAGUGCAUGAGUUAGUGGGCGUUAGCAGCUGCGAGAGUGGCGGCUGGCAAGUGCUUGGGUCAGUCUUGUACUUAGCUAUUUAAGUUGGAGAAGAUGAAUGAGAAAAGUGAGCCAAGAGGGCUGGGAAAAACACAAUGUAGUCUCUUGUUCCACCAAGGAGAAGGGCCUCUCGUGCAAAGUAACAGCCGGUGUCCUUCUUGGUUGUGUGUGUGUGUGUGUAGAGUUUCUCCAUGGUGUGUGUUCAUGAGAGAUGAGAGGAAGAAGAACGGCGCUGCGAGGAGGCGGCGCCAACAUUUGGUAUUCAGAGCCACAAGGUUCGAGGGGCGGCCGUGGCGCGCGGUGGCGUCCGCGGCGGACGGGGCAUGCGCGGCCGACAUGGAGGCAUCGGCUGCGGCGCGCGGCGAGCGCGUGGCGGAGGCGGCGGGCGGUGACGUCGUACGUGCGGCGACCGCGGAGGCCGCCGAGGCGCUGCGUGGUGGCGCAGCGGUGCAACACGGUGUGGCGGCGUGGAGGCACUGCAUGGCGGCAUGGAGGCCGCGGCGGUGCAGGGCAAUAAGAUGCGGCGGCGAGCCGGACGCGACCGGUGCGUGUUAUGGGCGCGCACUGGACGUGUCGAGCGCGUCGGGACCGCGGGAGUGGACCGCGUCGAGGCGCUGGACCUGGUUGCGCAGACCGCGUACGUGCGCGGCGGGAGCGCGGGCUGGGAGCGCGGGGACGUGGGGAGUGUGCGCGAAGGGCACGGCGGUCGCGGAGACGAGGAGGUCGCGAAGGACCUGCGUGGUGGCGCAUAGGUCGCGACGGCUCGGGGCAACGACCGUGGAAGGUGCGUGGCACGUAGGCGCGGCGUGGUGGCUGCCAUGGCGGACGCGGAGGCGGCACGUGGUGAGCGUCUGGUGCUGUCGGGCUCGUCGGGCGCGUCGAAUGCGCGCGGGACGUGCGGGACGCACUGCUGCGGUCGGGCUCGUCGGGCACGUCGGAUGCGUGCGGGACGUGCGGGACGCAGAGGGACGCCAGGCGUGUGUCGCCGGCGGAGGAGCUCGGCGUAUGUCGCCGGGGUCGUGAGGGAGCACGGUGCGACCGGCGUCAGUGCGCCAGGUCGGGUCCGUGGCGGUGUGACCGGCGUCGAUGCGUCGGGUCGGGUCCGCAGGCUGGGUCACGGCCGUGACGACGACGACGCAAGCUGCAUCAACUCCGGUGACAGGCGGGCGCACGGCACGUCGCAGCGGGCGCGGAGGCGUGUGAAGACGUCGAGCUCAGGCGUUCAAGAUGACGGUCGACGGCAAGGCGUGUCAAGAUUAAGGGGGGAAAUGUUAGCACUAAUCUUGAUGUGCGUGGUUUCGUUAGCAGCAAGUCCCGCGGCUGCUACGAGCGGGGCGUCCGGUGGAGUUGCCGAGUCCUGGAGUGCAUGGAUAAGGUAGUUAUCUAGUUGCAUGCAUGUAGCUAGUGGGUUAGUCGCCCGGUCAUGUGAUAGUGGCCGGUGUGGUGCAUGCGUGCAUGAGUUAGUUGUGAUUAGUGGCCUAGUGCAUGAGUUAGUGGGCGUUAGCAGCUGCGAGAGUGGCGGCUGGCAAGUGCUUGGGUCAGUCUUGUACUUAGCUAUUUAAGUUGGAGAAGAUGAAUGAGAAAAGUGAGCCAAGAGGGCUGGGAAAAACACAAUGUAGUCUCUUGUUCCACCAAGGAGAAGGGCCUCUCGUGCAAAGUAACAGCCGGUGUCCUUCUUGGUUGUGUGUGUGUGUGUGUAGAGUUUCUCCAUGGUGUGUGUUCAUGAGAGAUGAGAGGAAGAAGAACGGCGCUGCGAGGAGGCGGCGCCAACAG